rnacentral:rRNA from 1 species
GAUGAACGCUAGCGGCAGGCUUAAUACAUGCAAGUCGAGGGGCAGCAGGUCCCGCAGCAAUGCGGGAUGCUGGCGACCGGCAAACGGGUGCGGAACACGUACGCAACCUACCCAUAACUGGAGGACAGCCCGGGGAAACCCGGAUUAAUACUCCGUAACAUAUUGAGAAGGCAUCUUCUUACUAUUAUAGUCUUCGGGCGGUUAUGGAUGGGCGUGCGCCUGAUAGGUAGUUGGCGGGGUAACGGCCCACCAAGCCUACGAUCAGUAACUGGUGUGAGAGCACGACCAGUCACACGGGCACUGAGACACGGGCCCGACUCCUACGGGAGGCAGCAGUAAGGAAUAUUGGGCAAUGGACGCAAGUCUGACCCAGCCAUGCCGCGUGGAGGAUGAAGGUCCU